UACGUAGGGUGCGAGCGUUGUCCGGAAUUACUGGGCGUAAAGGGUUCGUAGGUGGCCUGCUAAGUCGGACGUGAAAUCCCUCGGCUCAACCGGGGAACUGCGUCCGAUACUGGUGGGCUCGAGUGCAGGAGAGGAACGCGGAAUUCCAGGUGUAGCGGUGAAAUGCGUAGAUAUCUGGAGGAACACCGGUGGCGAAGGCGGCGUUCUGGACUGCAACUGACACUGAGGAACGAAAGCCAGGGGAGCAAACGGG
rnacentral:rRNA from 1 species